UGGGGAAUAUUGCACAAUGGGCGAAAGCCUGAUGCAGCGACGCCGCGUGAGGGAUGACGGCCUUCGGGUUGUAAACCUCUUUCAGCAGGGAAGAAGCUUUUGUGACGGUACCUGCAGAAGAAGCACCGGCUAACUACGUGCCAGCAGCCGCGGUAAUACGUAGGGUGCGAGCGUUGUCCGGAAUUAUUGGGCGUAAAGAGCUUGUAGGCGGUUUGUCGCGUCUGCUGUGAAAAUCCAGGGCUUAACCCUGGACGUGCAGUGGGUACGGGCAGACUAGAGUAUGGUAGGGGAGACUGGAAUUCCUGGUGUAGCGGUGGAAUGCGCAGAUAUCAGGAGGAACACCGAUGGCGAAGGCAGGUCUCUGGGCCAUUACUGACGCUGAGAAGCGAAAGCAUGGGGAGCGAACAGG
rnacentral:rRNA from 1 species